UGACACAUGGGGUUUAUGGGGAUCACAAUUCAAAAUGAGAUUUUGGGUGGGGAAACAGCCAAACCAUAUUAAGGAGGAAAGAUACAUUCAUGAAUCUCCUAUUUUUUACAUUUAGACUGUUCUUUGGAAUGAUCUGGAUUUGAAUGAUGUGUUAUUUAUAUUUGGCUAUCCUAAUUAUUCAAACAUGAACUGAAGAAAUACUUUUAUUGGAGAAGGGAAUGGAGGAGGGAGGCAACUAAAAAUUUUAAGAGUCUGAAAACAAAACAAAACAAAACAAAUGAAGCCAAACUUAUACUCAGGAUAAAAAACCAUGCAAUUCUUUUCUUUCAAGGUGUAUUUGGCGUAUAUUUAUCGAGGUUAGCUAAGCCAUAGGGUGUCAGUGGACAGAAAACAGUCAAGAUGCCUAGAAUUUGGAUUCUGGUGGCAAAAAAUAGUCAAUAAAGAAAGACAUGAGAAAAUAAGGUGAGUUCAGGGAGUGUGAAAUGUCAAGAUUUUGGUAAUUACACUAUAAAAUGCAGGUAUAAAAUAUGUGUGUUCCUUAUUCCUUCAAUGCCUCCUCAGAGAUAAUCCCUGGUAAAUUAGGGGCUUUCAUGCACAUUUUUUCCUUUUUUUUUUUUUUUUUUAAUGGAGGCAGCCAAAAGACACGGCCAGAGCCUGAGCAGGAUCAAUAUCAUCCUCUUUUAAAAGCUCCACAAUCCCCUAUACAACUACAUCCAAUCUCCAGUGCUCUUAUAAGAAGAGGACAGACAUACAGUAAAGAUGGAGACAGGGACUAAAAGCCAAGGAAUGCCAGCAGGCACCAGGACCUAAGUGAGAGGCAGCGAACAGAUUCUUCUCCAGAGCCUCCAAAGGAACCAACUUUGCUGACAUUUGAUUUUGGACUGCUGGACUCUAGAACUGUAAGUGAAUACAUUUCUGUUCAUUUAAGACAUCAGUCUGUGGUACUUUGUAGGGGCAGCUCUAGAAAAUUUAUACCUAACUCAAUGGAAAUAACUAUCUUUAUCAUUAGACAUCAUUCUGGAUUAUAUAUAUAUGUAAUGUACAUACAUAUUAAAAUUCCAGAUGUAUCCAUAUAUCAUAUCAUAUAUUCAUACCAUGUAUGGAUAUAUAAACCACAUAUCUCACUCCCACUGGUUAGAUAGCUACAGAUAUGUACAGACAGAUGGUUAGAUUAACAGAAAUAUUUCUAUUAUAAUGGGAGUAAUUCUAUACAUUCUAUAUUAAAUGUGAUUUUACUUGAAUGUAUCUGAAGUAAAAGAAUAGGUCUAUCCUUCUAUUGCACUGUUUUCCUAUUUCUGUGCUAAAAUCUUGUCGUUCAGUUUAUUCAAUUUUGUAUAGGGCAAACCCGUACUAUUUGCUACGCUCUAAAUGUUUGUGUCCCCUCCCAAACCCAGAUGUUGAAAUCUAAUCAGCAAUGUGAUGGUAUUUGGAGGUAGGGCUGCUGGGAAACGAUGGUAUUAGGAGGUGGGGCUGCUGGCUCCGCCCUCAUGAAUUGGAUUAGUUCCUAUCUUAGUCCAUUCAGGCUACUAUAAGGCUACCUCAGACUGGGUCAUUUAUAAACAGCAGAAAUUGAUCCUUCAGAGUUCUGGAGGCUGGGAGUCCAAGAUUAAGGCACUAGCAGAUUCAGUGUCUGGUGAGACCUCACUCUCUGCUUCAUAGUGACACCUUCUUUCUAUGUCUCCAGAUGGUAAAGAAGAGGUGAACAAGUUUCCUUGGGCUUCUUUUAUAAGGCCAUUGCUAUGGCUUAAAUGUAUGUGUCUCUCUAGAAUUCCUAUGUUGGAGGCUAAAAUUCACUAUAAUAACAUUAAGAGCUGAAGCCAUUUUGGAAGUGAUCAAGAAAUGAGGCUCCAUCCUCUUGAAUGGGAUUAGUAUCCUUAUAAAAGAGGUUGACAGGAGUGUCCUAGUCCCCCCCGCUUUUUUUUUUUUUUUCCCUUUUGCCUCCCAUCUCUUCCCUCAUGUGAGGAUACAGUGUUCGUCCCCUUCUGUGGACCCAGCAACAAGGCACUGUCUUGGAAGCAGAUAGCAAGCCCUUAUCAGACACUGAAUCUGCUGGUACCUUUAUCUUGGACUUCCUAGCCUUCAGAACUCUGAGAAAUAAUGUCUAUUAUUUAUAAAUCACUCAGUCUAAAGUAUUCUGUUAUAGCAGUGGGAAUGGACUGAGAUAGGCACUAAUUCCAGUUAUGAGGUUAGAGCCCUCAUGACCUAAUCAAUAUCCCAAAGCCCCAACUUUUAAUACUAUUGCACUGGUGAUUAGGUUUCAACAUAUGAAUUUGAGGGAACACAAACUUUCAGAUCCUAGAAGUGCCACUGAAAGACAGCUCAGAGAGCUAGCUCGCCCCUUCUGUCACGUGAGGGCACUGUGAGUAGGUGCCUUCUGUGAGUCAUCUGUGAAUUUCUGGGUCCUCACCAGCCACCAGAUCGGCCGGCACCUGGAUCUUGGAUUUCCAACUUUCAGAACUGGCUCAACAAUGACAUAGUUUGUCGUACCACAUAGGGACGAAGCUUUUCGUGGCUACGGUUGAGGAGGUGCUGGUUAUGUGCAAGGGCUUUGCACGGUAUGACCUAGGUGCACGUCCCUGCUCUGUCACCUACUAGUUGUGUGACCCUUAUUUAACCUCUGUGGACCUCAGGGUCCUAUCUCUGAAACGGGAAUAAUAGUAGUACUUAAUUCCGAAUUGUAAGAAUUAAGCACUUGUUAAUACGUUAAAGCAUUUAGAAGGCACAUUAAACCCUAUAGCAAGUAAGCAUUAGGCUACAUUCAUCAAAACCUGCUGCAUACUUACCUCCUUCAAGUCUCAUAAGCACUUCAGAAAGUGUGGUAUCUCCAUUCUACGAACGAGGAAAGUAAGCUCAAGACAGCAAGUGCUGAGUGCAAGUCACUUGGAUAUACAUUUUAGGGCUGCCCCGCAAGACCAGCUCCUAGAA